AGAGUUUGACAGUUGUCCGCUCUAAAGUCCUCAUUAUAUUACAAGUCUGUCACACUCCGAAUCUAGGGGCGAGAAUAGCACCCCGAUGCCUCACUUAUUCUUGCGUAUCAACUUGUGAUUAAGGGACUCUGAACCUAUAAUAUCAUUCUUUGGCCUUAGGCCAUAUUGCAAGACAAUUGCGAAUACUGAUUAAAUAUCAAUAUAGAUCUAAGUCGGCAAGGCCGUCAUAACUACUACAACUGGAAAACCAACAAAAUAUACAUAAAAGGCCUACAAGCCCAACAUACUACACUAACUGACAGGAUAUGUUUACAAGCCUCUACUGGUAGAUAUAUUGUAAUCGGAACAAUUACCCGACCUAUUCAUAAUAUAUACAUAUAUACACAAGAUAUACAUAAAGCUCUAGACUCGACAACUCCGAAAGGGAUGGAGCUUACCGAUCAGGUUGAACUCGGGCAACACUUAAUGAGGAAGUCUACUUGUCUGUUUGUAUAAACCUGCACGCAUGAAAUGCAGCGCCCCCCAAAAAAGGGACGUCAGUACGAAAUAAUGUACCGAGUAUGAAAGACAAUAUAUUGAAAGUUGAAACUGAAUUGAUAAUGUAAUAAUUGAAAGUCAAUGAUAAUCUUAAGAUAUGCUUACCUGCUGCUACUGACUCAACUCUCUCAAUAUAGUAAAUAAAAUAGAUGUCCGGCCUUAUAUAAAUAUAUAUAAGGUUUGAACCGAACAGUAGUUAACGGGUCGGUUUGGGGGACUUUUUAAUUUGACAUUUCACUUUACUCUCACAAUUUGUUGGUAGUUCGGUUUGGAUUGUUUUUUUUUAAAAAAAAUAAAAAAAUUAAUUAAAUUUUUUUUAUUUGGUUUAUGUUGGUUUUUGUUGGUUUUUUUAGUUUUUUCGAUUAUUUGUCGAUUUUUUUAAAUAUAAGACACACACUAUCAAACACAUAUUCCGGCGAUCACAUUUUCAACGUAACACUAUCAAAUCAAUUGUCCUUUGAGAAAUAUAUUAUUUACUAAGAUAUAUUGAUGAUAAUUGAAUCAAAUAGUGAUGAAUAAUUUAAGGACUCAAUUAAAAAUAUAUUUUUUUUAAUACGAAAUGAAUUCUUACACUUAAUAAAAGAAAAUUACCAAUCAAACUAGAAUGUAAAGGUAAAGAACUCUACUAAAAGUGCAAACUAUUAACAUCUACCAUUAAAUUUUUGAAAAUUUGUAUAAAAUUAUAUAUAUAUACGACUCACUUAUCGGCACUCGACCAUACUAGGUUAUAUCUCUCGGCCAUGCUGGGCUCGCUCAUAGGGGCUCAGCCAUAGUAGGCUCAGUAUAUAUUUUACCAUCUGAUCCGAGGUUGCCCAAUAGGGGCCUGCCCAUCCAUUAUAGCUCGAUGGUAAUGAAAAUACUGUAUACUAUAUAUAUAUAUAUAUAUAUAGACUCUCCACUCUCUUGACUGGAAUAAGAAAAUGCUCAAAUGAAUAUGAAGUCUCGAUUAAAAAAAUAUUGUAACUUGCGAGACUAGCAAAAUAUACGUAAAUCCCGGAAUAUGAACUUUUCUUUAUGCCUCGUUAUCAAACUUGUGCAAUGACGAGAUCAUGCAAAAUUAAAGAAGGACUUAUCCUUAAAAUAUCUUUGUUAGAUUUCUUUAGUAACCACAACAACAGCCCAUCCAACACACGUCAAUCUAGGAGAGACGACAAUAACGCAACAACAUGGAUUAGCGGUAAGCUUGUACAAGUUCGUUGAUGAUGGAGUGUACUUUUGUUUCCCUCUUUUAAUUUCCUUCCCUUUUAUAUUACUACGAGCUAACUUUUAUCCGCUAACAACCAUAGGAAAUCGGUAUUAGAAACGUAAAAUUGACGGGUAAAUGAAGUAGAGAAGCUUAAUCCUUUCUUACCUGAAAUAGAAAAAGCGUGUCUGCCCUUAAUAUCAUGUUCAUCUUCACAUUGUACAUUAAGUUGCUGCUCCUUUACCAAAUGAUGCUAUUGUAGUCUAGCAAUAAAGACCUUGUUCAACUUUCCCUCAAAAUGAAUUAAUACAUCCCACUUUGUCAAAAUUUCCAUCCGUAUUAUUGUUGUAGGUUUACAAACUCA
rnacentral:lncRNA from 1 species